ACGCUCGACACCUACGGGAGACAGCAGUGGGGAAUAUUGCACAAUGGGGGAAACCCUGAUGCAGCGAUGCCGCGUGAAGGAAGAAGUAUCUCGGUAUGUAAACUUCUAUCAGCAGGGAAGAAAAUGACGGUACCUGACUAAGAAGCCCCGGCUAACUACGUGCAAGCAGCCGCGGUAAUCUGAGCGGGCUGGCAAGGC
rnacentral:rRNA from 1 species